rnacentral:rRNA from 1 species
UACGUAGGGGGCAAGCGUUGUCCGGAAUCAUUGGGCGUAAAGAGCGUGUAGGCGGCCCGAUAAGUCCGCUGUGAAAGUCCAGGGCUCAACCCUGGAAUGCCGGUGGAUACUGUCGGGCUCGAGUCCGGAAGAGGCGAGUGGAAUUCCUGGUGUAGCGGUGAAAUGCGCAGAUAUCAGGAGGAACACCAAUGGCGAAGGCAGCUCGCUGGGACGUGACUGACGCUGAGACGCGAAAGCGUGGGGAGCAAACAGG